rnacentral:rRNA from 1 species
CAGUAGCCGCGGUAAAACGUAGGUCCCGAGCGUUGUCCGGAUUUAUUGGGCGUAAAGGGAGCGCAGGCGGUUUAGUAAGUCUGAAGUUAAAGGCAUUGGCUCAACCAAUGUAUGCUUUGGAAACUGUUAGACUUGAGUGCAGAAGGGGAGAGUGGAAUUCCAUGUGUAGCGGUGAAAUGCGUAGAUAUAUGGAGGAACACCGGUGGCGAAAGCGGCUCUCUGGUCUGUCACUGACGCUGAGGCUCGAAAGCGUGGGUAGCGAACAGGAUUAGAUACCCCCGUAGUCCCUGUCUCUUAUACA